rnacentral:rRNA from 1 species
GUGGGGAAUAUUCCGCAAUGGACGAAAGUCUGACGGAGCAACGCCGCGUGAGUGAUGAAGGUUUUCGGACUGUAAAGCUCUGUUGUUUAGGACGAAAGUGCCUGUUGCGAACAGUUACAGGUAUUGACGGUACUAAACGAGGAAGCCACGGCUAACUACGUGCCAGCAGCCGCGGUAAUACGUAGGUGGCAAGCGUUGUCCGGAAUUAUUGGGCGUAUAGAGCAUGUAGGCGGAGAUUUAAGUCUGUUGUGAAAAUGCGGGGCUCACACCCGUAUUGCGAUGGAAACUGAAUUUCUUGAGUGCAGGAGAGGAAAGGGGAAUUCCCAGUGUAGCGGUGAAAUGCGUAGAUAUUGGGAGGAACACCAGUGGCGAAGGCGCCUUUCUGGACUGUGUCUGACGCUGAGAUGCGAAAGCCAGGGUAGCGAACGGGAUUAGAAACCCUAGUAGUCC